UACGAAGGGGGCUAGCGUUGCUCGGAAUUACUGGGCGUAAAGGGCGCGUAGGCGGACAGUUAAGUUGGGGGUGAAAGCCCGGGGCUCAACCUCGGAAAUGCCUUCAAUACUGGCUGUCUUGAGUACGGGAGAGGUGAGUGGAACUCCGAGUGUAGAGGUGAAAUUCGUAGAUAUUCGGAAGAACACCAGUGGCGAAGGCGACUCACUGGCCCGUUACUGACGCUGAGGCGCGAAAGCGUGGGGAGCAAAC
rnacentral:rRNA from 1 species